CCACCUUAGCUAACAGAGGGCUUUGUGCCUUGUCGAUCAUAUCUUAUUGAUUCAUUGCUUAAUGAUUUAAAAUAAUUGGAGAACAUACGGGCUCUGACCAAGACCAUAACUUAAUGGUAUCAUUUGACGGCAAAAUCACUUGGUCAGAGGAUCUCGAUCAUAAACAUUUAUAUGUGGUGCCAUUUGGCGAUGAAAUCACUAGUUAGAGGACACAUGUCACGUCCUUACUGGUAAGAGACAGAUUGAAAAUGAAUCCUAGUGAUAUUCUCAACCAAACAUUUGCACUUUGUGAGCUGAAGUGCUUUCAAGUUUGUUUACCUUGGAAAACUGUUGUGUAUGGUGGAUUGAUAUUUUGCUUUAAAUGUUUUGAUUUUUAUUUCAAUUUUAAACAUUUUAUAAUUUUGUUAUUUUGUAAUUUUUGUGGGCAUUUGCGAGACAUUUUUAAAUGUUUGGGGUCCCCGCGGAUUGAGAUUUUAUGUCAAUAUGGUCAUCAUGGGGGUUUUCAUAUGCAAUUUCAUUUUAGUUAAUUGAACAUUGUCGACUCUGCCUACCUGCUGACAGAGGAUUAGGUUCAUUGUCGAGUUCAUGCCUUUAUUAGUGAAUUUUCUUUCUUAUAGGCUUUUAAGGCCUAAUAUGAAUGUAUAAAACAAAUAUAUCGAUCGGCGUCCCGACCGUACAUUUGAUUGAUGGUUCAAGUCAUGUCAACUUCUAUAUAUUCAUGUAGAAUGAUCGGGCUCGAACUUAAGUUCAUUUUUUACCCGCGGAGCAUCCUCAGAUGCCACGUGUGUACCUAUAACACGCUCGUUGGGGCCCAUGAGGUGUAUGCAUUUGCAUGUAUUUUGCAUAAUGCAUUUUAUGUAUUACAACAUGUAUACGUAUGAUGUAAAUCCAUCAUUGCAUAAUGCAUUUUAUGUCUUUGUUUGUAGGUGGGCCGUUGUAAGCAUUUUUAGUCUUAUGUUGUCAUCUGCAAGCAAGUUGCUUUACAUGCAGAUCUCUUAGUGCUUCUUAUAAGUGUUUGUAUUUAAUACAUCUCUUUUGCAUUUGCCUGUAGGCACCACAUUGUGUUCAUGAUGGAUCUUCCGCAGUGGCUCAUAGACGCUUGCAAGCGAUUAAUGUACCUACUGGAUGUUUAUUUACUAUUGGUUGUAGGAAUAAUCUAGCAUCUACUACAUGUUGUUCACUUUCAACUAUAGAUGGGCUAUUGUGCACGGCGAAUCUCUUGUACGUUUGUCAUCGUUUGCUUAAAUAUAUUUACCGGGAACCUUGCACUUGCGCUAUGUCUAUUGUUAUCAUCAACAUUAAGCUUAGUGUAUUUAUUUAUAGCGGCAUUAGUUACAUGCGAGCUGCAUUUGCUUCAAAUUCUUCAAAUACCUCUUAGUUGACGAUGCAUUGCAUAGUCGAUCAUUGCUACUUGCACAGUUGUAUGUGUUUGCUCACAUUUUGAAGUUGUCUGCAGGGCUUGCAUUUAUCUGCAAGCUAACUGCCAUCGGUCGUAGGAAGACUACGACAUUUAUAGCCUAUUAUUUGUUGGCAGAUUAAUGUGCUUAUUUGAAUGACAUUAACUACAUAUAGACUUCAUUCAUUUCAAAUUCAUCAAAUGUCUCAAAUCAUUGUGCUCGCUACAUUUCAAAUCCUUCUACUUGUAGAUGAUAGAUGCAUUUACUUGCAUGACUGAUGUGAAUGUUAUAAAUCAUUUGUUAUUGCUAAUAGGCAGGUCAUGUUCAUUGCAACUCCCUUAUUUAUGUCUAUCAGCAAGUCAUUAAAUUCACAACGCAUUUUUCGUGACUCCCCAUAGACGACUCAUUAUACACUUAUUAUGAGUCUUUCAUCGUCUUCGUAGAUGAUUACCUGUUUAUAAACAAGUUGUGUAUUGGAGUUUUGGUUCAACACAAGUCCUUACAGUUACUACAUGUUGAUGUUCAUUUGAGUUCUUUGAAUCAUUUAGGAUUUUAUAUAUUCAAUUUUAACGUGCAUUUAUUAGUUUAAGGUCUGGUUCCCUAUUAUUUUGUUCAAGUAAAGUUCCCCGUGGUUCGAUAAUCUACAAGUUCAAUCCCCUGUUGUUCAUUUAAGUCCCAUGUUCACUGAAAAAUUUGGCAGCCUCCCGGCAUCUCCCAUGAGAAAAGUAUGUAUAGUACGAUACUGCAGCCGUACUCUUCGAUCUCACCACGCUAGAGAAAGGCACAUAUGAGUUUUCAGGGGUACCUGUUUGAAAAUGCAGUUUUUCCCGCAGACACUGAGACACAUACACUAGCACUUAAAAUUGUACUCUCUACGCCAGAGAAAAGCGUGCAUAGGGUCUACCAGCCUCACUGAAAGCGUCACACCGAGUUCCCUCCCACCACACUAGGGAAAAGCGUGUAUGGGUGAUUUUUUGGUGCGACGUAAGUGUCGAAAAUAGGAUUUUUAUUUUGGGGCUUUUUGAGCUUUGAAGUUAUUAUACAUUUGCGAAGGCGAGGUCGAUAGAGACGGUGAUGUUAAUGCGACGACGAUGACAAAAUGCACGAAAAUUUCAUCUUCCCUCUUUUUUUUUUUUUUUGGUUAUUUCUUUCUUUUUUUUAUUAAUUUUCCUAGUCACUUUUAUCUUCUUUUGAUAAUAUCAAUAAUAAUAAUAAUAAUAAUAAUAAUAAGGGAUUUGGGUUAAUCUGGGUUUAGAGAGUGUGUGGUGGGUUUUUUGUUGGAAAAGUUUUGGUUGAGUGCUGUUUUGGAGGGUUGAUUUGAGCUGAAGGUGGAUUUGGGUUUUUUUCUUUGUUGUGUGCAGCUGAGAGGGGUGAUGUGGUAUUUGGUAAAACCUUCAAAUAGAAAGUAAUGAGAGGUUAGAUAAGGGAAUCUGGAAAGGGGUCGGCUAAUCGAUCGGACAUCUAUAGUUGCUGUGGAAGAUUUCAGCAAAGGGUAGAUCCGACAGGCUUGAGUGUUCAGUGUCUAUGAAUCGGCUUGCUGUAGGGAAGAUCAGAACAUCCGAUGGUUCGAUGGGAAUCGGGCAAGGGAUUUGGGGUUCGGUAGUAGUUAACGGUCAGAGGAACGUUUGAUCGUACAAAUUAGGUGGAAACACUUGUUUGUCGUUCUUGUUUUUCUCCAACCGAUCGCCAUUUUUUAUGUCAUUUGAUCGCGGAUGAACCGCACUGUUCACUCACGCCAUUUUUUGCUCUCAACCGGAAAAACGCGCGAAAGGGAGGGCGAUCGUUACCUUCUCAAAAACACCUAAAAUGACGUUCGAUUGGAGCAUCACCGCGCCAUUUUGGAGUUUUGCGUUACUUUGCCGUGAAAAAUGAAGUUUUCGGUUGGAGAUGACCUAAGGAAGGGGAUUUUAUUUGGUCCGGUUGACCGAAUGCAAGAAACAGAGUUUUUUGCCUAUACAACCGGAUGUUCAUCGGGUCGGAGGACGUAAUAAUUGUUCCUAAGGAAGGGCCUGAGGGAGAUUUGGCUAUAUGGAGUUUCAGUACAGUGAGGAACGAGUCGAACGUCGGGCUUGAUAUUGGGUUUCGUCUGGAUGAGGGAGUUGGCGGGCUGCGUGUGAGUUGUCUGCAACUGCGGCUAUAGAUGAAGGCAGGAGUGGGAGAGGGAGAUUAGAGACGGAGUCGAUCGGAUAGACACGAGCAAGUUGUCGGAUUGGAUUCGGCUCUGAGAGGGGAAACAAGUAUAGUUGGGAGGUUUGACAAAGUAUUGAUUGGUAUCGGAGCAUGAUUUUGAUCGCAGAUGGGAGGGCUCUGUGCGGCUAGGCUUGACUAGCAGGGAAGACUCAGCUGGAUCGAAGGUCAGGUCGACAGGGGCAAGUUGUUGGGAACGGCUUGGAGACGGGAUCUUGAGCGUGGAAGCUUGAGGGAUUUGGCGCUUGAGCAUAGAACAAAAACGAACGAAGGCCUUGUUCGGUUUCUUUUUAACGAAGUGGUUGAGAGUUGCAGUCACGAGAUAUGCAGGAAGAGACGCGAAGGAGUUCCGACAGCCGGAUUUCGAGGAAUUUCAGCGCGAUUUACGGGAUUCUUCGACAGUAUACGAGAAUAUUGGCCAUUAAAAGAGAAGCAUAAUAUCAAAUUAAGUGUUGCAGAGAUGAUGAUGCUUAGGUGGAUGUGUGGCUUUACUCUUAGAGAUUGAAUACAAAAUGAGCAUAUACGUGAAAAGGUCGGAGUAACUCAAGUGACCAACAGGUUAUACCUGAAGAAAGCUCUAUACAUGUUGCAUAUGGAAGAAAGUAAAGACUUGAAAAAACAUAUUGAUGAAUUUACAAACUCAUCAUUGAUCUUAAGAAUAUAGAUGUAAGGAUUGAGGAAGAAGAUCAAGGUAUUAUCAUUCUAAGUGCUUUACGUAAGUCAUACGAAAAUAUAGUGGAUGCAUUACUAUAUGGCAAGCGAACGUUGACCAUGACCGAGGAGAAGUCAGUCUUGGUGUCCAAACAAUUGCAGCGUAGAAAUGAGGACAAAGAUGAAAGCAUUAGCAACAUUCUGAUAGCAAGGGAAAACUUGAGUCCUGUAAGAAAUGUUUCCACAGCCAUAAGGAAGGGCAUUUCAAAAGAAAUUACCCGGAUCUACUGAAAAGAAAAGGAGUUAGGCCUAAGGAAGACGCCAACAUAGUCAAGGCAGCAAAUAAAGACAGAUGUUUUGUAGAUCUAUGACCAAGGUGGAGUUUGUUGUGAUUGGUUCAAGAAUGAUUACAUUGUACUUUCUUUUAGUUAGGUACUUUUGUAGCCAUUUGUAUUUCCUAUUUUGUUUCUUGUGAUAUCAUUAGAAGUCUUUAAAUAAGGCUUCACUGUAAUAGAAAAGAGAAAUUAAGCCAAAAACCAAGCAAUACAGAUAUCCUCUUUAGAUUU